AUACGAAGGGGGCUAGCGUUGUUCGGAAUUACUGGGCGUAAAGCGCACGUAGGCGGAUUUGCCAGUCAGGGGUGAAAUCCCGGGGCUCAACCUCGGAACUGCCUUUGAUACAGCAAGUCUAGAGUCCGGAAGAGGUGAGUGGAAUUCCUAGUGUAGAGGUGAAAUUCGUAGAUAUUAGGAAGAACACCAGUGGCGAAGGCGGCUCACUGGUCCGGCACUGACGCUGAGGUGCGAAAGCGUGGGGAGCAAACAGGAGUAGAUACCCUGGUAGUCCACGCCGUAAACUAUGGAUGCUAGCCGUCGGCAAGCUUGCUUGUCGGUGGCGCAGCUAACGCAUUAAGCAUCCCGCCUGGGGAGUACGGCCGCAAGGUUAAA
rnacentral:rRNA from 1 species